rnacentral:rRNA from 1 species
GACGAACGCUGGCGGCGUGCUUAAUACAUGCAAGUCAACUGAACUUAGGAUAGCAAUAUUUUAAGGGAGGUGGCGCACGGUGAGUAACACGUAGGUAAUCUGCCUUUAGGUCUGACAUAACCUACCGAAAGGUAGGCUAAAAUCAGAUGAUGCAGCGGCUCGACAUCGAGACAGUUGUUAAAUCUUCGGAGCCUAAAGAUGAGCCUGCGUCUGAUUAGGUAGUUGGCGGUGUAAUGGACCACCAAGCCUGCGAUCAGUAGCUGGUCUGAGAGGAUGAUCAGCCACACUGGAACUGAGACACGGUCCAGACUCCUACGGGAGGCAGCAGUAAGGAAUAUUGCUCAAUGGCCGAAAGGCUGAAGCAGCAACGCCGCGUGGAGGAUGAAUACUUUGUAUGU